CCACGGCGAGCAGCAUUUUCCGAGAGGCUGGAAGGAUGAGUUGGAUGAAAACCUGUUUCCGGGAUCCAAGCUUACGAAAGCCGAAAGCCUCCUAAUGGUCAUGGCCCACAGCUUGCGCCAUGGCUGC
rnacentral:lncRNA from 1 species